AGGUCAGGCGGGAUUACCCGCUGAG
rnacentral:rRNA from 4 species